AUGGUAGAUCUCUCUUUGCUGAAACUGUAUUCUCAAGGUCAAUUUUAGCGUUAAGAUUACAUUUUUCGAAGAAAUGAAAGUUGAGGCCAGUUUAAAGGAUGAAAACGUUCGAUGGGUCAUCACAGUUCCAGCAAUAUGUUCAAAAAACAGCAAGGCAGUUUAUGAGAAAAUGUGCAAAUGUGGUAACAAACAUAAGUAGCAUAUUUAUUAUUCACCAAUGAUUUUAUUUCUUACAAACGUUCAUUUGUUCCAAGAUACCUAAGGUAGCUAAGCUUUUGCCUUGAAG
rnacentral:lncRNA from 1 species